rfam:Octopus bimaculoides Scaffold15456_contig_48, whole genome shotgun sequence.
AUACUUGCUUCGACAGAAUAUAUACUACAAAUGGAACGAUACAGAAAAGAUUAGUAUGACCCCUGGGCCAAAGAAGAAACGCAUAUUUGUGAAGCAUUACGUUUCUUA